UACGGAGGGGGCUAGCGUUGUUCGGAAUUACUGGGCGUAAAGCGCACGUAGGCGGCUUUGUAAGUCAGGGGUGAAAUCCCGGAGCUCAACCCCGGAACUGCCCUUGAGACUGCAAGGCUCGAAUCCAGGAGAGGUGAGUGGAAUUCCGAGUGUAGAGGUGAAAUUCGUAGAUAUUCGGAAGAACACCAGUGGCGAAGGCGGCUCACUGGACUGGUAUUGACGCUGAGGUGCGAAAGCGUGGGGAGCAAACAGG
rnacentral:rRNA from 1 species